rnacentral:ncRNA from 1 species
CCAAAGGCUCUUUUCAGAGCCACUCAAACUUUCUAAGGAGCUGCA